CCUACGGGAGGCAGCAGUGGGGAAUAUUGCGACAAUGGGGGAAACGCCUGAUGCCAGCCAUGCCGCGUGGGUGAAGAAGGCCUUCGGGUUGUAAAGCACUUUCAGUUGGGAGGAAGGGUUGUUGGUUAAUACCUUGCUGUUCUGACGUUACCCACAGAAUAAGCACCGGCUAACUCCGUGCCAGCAGCCGCGGUAAU
rnacentral:rRNA from 1 species